UAAAAUAUAACAUUUUUAUAGAAAACAUCAAGUAAUUAAAUCUCAAAUAAAAGAAAAUAUACUCAUUUUUCAUGUCUCCACUAAAAUCAACUAUAUUACUAUUUGUUUCCUCAUCCCUUAUCACAGCUGGUGACCCAAUUUCAAAAUAUUUUACAAAAACAUUUAAAAUUAACCUCAAAUUUUAAUGGUAAACAUAAUAAGUAUGUAUCACAAAUAAUUUAGUUAUAUAUAUUAGGAAUACUUAUGUUUUAGACCACACAACCACUCAAAUAUUUCUUAAAAUAUCAAAUAAGCUUACUGUUAUUCUGCUUUGACAAAUGUUUCUUAGAAACAGAAGGAAACACCCAGAAAAGAAAAGCACAUUACUUGUGACCUAGACUUGGUGCUAGAUAUGAGAUCCUGUAUAAUUUUAAUAACAAAGAAGAUCAUCAUCAGUUUUCUUCCCUAGAACAAACAAAUAAACAUCUAACCACAAAAAAAUACUGAAGAAGAGGCAAUUCUCCUAUGGGAAGCUGUGCACAGCUAAGGAUUAAACCUCCAAUAUCUGAGCACAACAGGGGGGCCAUCUUAAUGUUAACCUUCUAUGAUUAUUUUUCCUGCAUUCUGGAGGCUAAAUUCCUAACUGAAUUGGCAUGCUCUUUGAUAUUUGUUUCACAAUUUCAACAUUCUUUUUAAAGUAAUUUUCUUUAUGCCCAGUGGUAGCACUUCUAUAUGAUAAGAAUGAAUUUUGGUAUUAGUUUUACUGAGAGUUUGAGAAAUUGUCAUUUUAUCAUGCUGUUGCAUAGCAAAUGUGUGCAUUUCCCGUUAGUUUCUACAAACACUUUUUCCUUUAGUUUUGAUGAUAAAGUGGUUUUAUCACUUUUUAGAAAGUUUUUAUUUAUGUAAAGUAAAAAAAAAAAACAAAUUUGGGGAAAGACUUUACAUUCUCUAGCAUUUGAGCACAAUUUACAUUUUCUACUCACUUCAGGGACUUUAGCAGAAAUAGCUGCCCCGAGAAAUAAAUGUUAUCUGAUAUAUCUCAAAGGGCCAACAUUUUAAGGUACCAAAAUUAUGCACAUUUAUUUCAGUGAUGCUUAUCAAGGACUUUUGUGAUUUUCAUCAAUGAAGUAAAAGGAAAUUCAAAUGUAGAGUUUUGGUUUGGAGUUGAAACACUGAGGACAGAAGUAGAAUGAUAACAAAAUUCAAGGUCAUAGGUUAUGAGUAUCUAAAAUCAAAGAUAAUCCUCUGAAAUUACUUAUCUAGUAUUGGAAUACUAACUAUGUCACCCCAGAAGUAUAAUCAUUGUGAUGCUGACAAAAGACACCAUAUUGCUGGAAGGUGGCCAGAGAUGUUGAGCUGUUUAUUGUCUCACUGAUUUAAUAAUUCAUUCUUCCAAGUGUCAGGUGCAGUGCUAGACUCUAAGACUGCAAAGAUGCUACAGCAUAAGGCAUCUUCUCAGGAAGAUGUUAAUAUAUUAUAUGCCCCAAAUAAGCAAGUAUACAAUUGCAAUAUGAUUUGACAACUACUAUAAUUAAGAAAUGUACAGAAGAUGAAUACUUCAGUCCAAUAAAGUUAUAUUGAGGAGAUUUUUUUGGUGAUCAAAAAAGACUUUCCUAAGGAGGUAAUGGUAAACUGUGUUGAAUUCUUUAGACCAGGAACAGUCAGUACAGUCACAGAGGAGAAAACUAGAAUGACAUGUUUUAGAGAUCUACUUGUAGUUCAACUUCAUAAGGACAAAAAGGCAAAGAAUGGAAGAGGGAACGUGACUCUGGAGCCAUGCCUGCAGGAAACUGCUUUAGAGAGUCAAGCAGCAAGGCACCAGGCAUGGAAACUAACACUCCAAAGUGAAGGCAGUUGCUUAUAGUCUAUCAUCAUUGAAGAAGCAGUAAAAAUGGGAUAAAAAUCUAAGCCCUAUCACCCCCAUCAUGGAGACCUUCAAAACAGCACAGUUCCUAUGGUGAGUUUCUGCAGUAAACUGUCCUCACUUUUUGUUACUUUGUAAACCAUGCUCCAAAUGUCCCACAACAUCAUAAAGAAAGUUACAUUCUUUUGUUGCAUGAGAAAUUACUGUGAAGUCUUUUUUCAAAAACAGGGGAGUCUGUUAUAUAGACUUCUUUCCCUUGUGGGUAUGAGGUACAGAACUGGAACUUACUAGACAAAGCAAUAGGUACAUUAGAGACAGAGCUGUGUAUUCACACACUACUUAGAAACCACAUGUCCUCGCAUGCAGACAUAAUGGAUAUUUACCAUUAUCAUAUUCUUUAAUCUGGCUAUGGAAAAAAUAAAAUAAAAUUUUCUUUUGUAACACUUUCUGAUAAUCAACAUGUGCCCUGAUUCUGGAUGACUGAUACAAAGUGUUAUUUGAUCUAACUGAAAAUCUCAUUAUAGUGAAUCAGAUAUGUUCUCAAUUUCAGUAAGCUACCUGCUUCAUUACCAUCCAAUAUGAGUAAUUUUCACAGGUUAAUUGUGCCUAUGUUUAUGCAAAAUAUUUGAUUUUAUCUUUACUUACUGACACAAUUUUACUGAGCACUUUCCUAUUCUGGCAUAAUGGAGGAAGAGUAGUUUUUUACUCUUUUUUCUUUAUUAUGGUCUACAGCUGAUUUUUAUCUUGUUAGUUGGUUUUCAAAAAUUAGAUUACAUUUGAAAUCUACUCCAGCAUGGAAAGUAUUCAUGCUGGAUAAUC